rnacentral:tRNA from 1 species
GCCGAGGUGAUGGAAUUGGGAGACAUGCAGCGUUCAGAGCGCUGUGAACGCAAGUUCGUGCGGGUUCGAGCCCCGCCCUCGGCA